rnacentral:rRNA from 1 species
UACGGAGGGGGCUAGCGUUGUUCGGAAUUACUGGGCGUAAAGCGCGCGUAGGCGGCUUUGUAAGUCAGAGGUGAAAGCCUGGAGCUCAACUCCAGAACUGCCUUUGAGACUGCAUCGCUAGAAUCAUGGAGAGGUUAGUGGAAUUCCGAGUGUAGAGGUGAAAUUCGUAGAUAUUCGGAAGAACACCAGUGGCGAAGGCGACUAACUGGACAUGUAUUGACGCUGAGGCACGAAAGCGUGGGGAUCAAACAGG